CCUACGGGUGGCAGCAGUGAGGAAUAUUGGUCAAUGGACGGAAGUCUGAACCAGCCAUGCCGCGUGCAGGAAGACGGCUCUAUGAGUUGUAAACUGCUUUUGUACAAGGGUAAACCUGCAUACGUGUAUUCAGCUGACAGUACUGUACGAAUAAGGAUCGGCUAAAUCCGGGCAAGCAGCCGCGGUAAUACGGAGGAUCCAAGCGUUAUCAGGAUUUAUUGGGUUUAAAGGGUGCGUAGGUGGAUUGAUAAGUUAGAUGUGAAAUGUCCGAGCUUAACUGGGGAACUGCCUUUAAUACUGUUGAUCUAGAGAGUAGGUGCGGUAGGCGGAAUGUAUGGUGUAGCGGUGAAAUGCUUAGAGAUCAUACAGAACACCGAUUGCGAAGGCAGCUUACCAAUCUAUAACUGACGUUGAGGCACGAAAGCGUGGGGAGCAAACAGGAUUAGAUACCCCUGUAGUC
rnacentral:rRNA from 1 species